GCUGGAGAAACAUCCACACCACACGCGGUUUCACCUGCCACACGGCAGCCCCGGUGCCCGGAUCACUGUGCGUGGAGACUUAGGCUCACGGGCAAACCUCCUCCGGGUUCCGGUCAGUGUGCUGCCUCCCUAUCCACUGGGAGCCGUUUUGCGUUUCGGAUGCUCCCAGGCUCUCCCGCAGUUUAAAGACUUAACUCAGCGGCUUUCAGGGCCUGUGGUUAAGGGGCUCCGAAAGAACUGUUGCCGGUGGACCGGUUCAGGGUCUUGACUUCGCCACACAAAAGAACUUGAGAGCACGUCCAAAGUAAAGCUAAGACCUCUAGUACAGUGUUCAAUGGAACUGGUGAGAGAAGACAUCCUUGCUGUGUUCCUUAUAUGAAGAGGAAAGCAGUCCUUCUCCAUUAAGUAAAAUGCUGACAACAUGAGCCUCCCGUGGUCGGAACAGGCUUGUGAAGGCAGUGCUGGGAUGCACCAGGGCAGGAGCUACAGAAUGCACCAGCUGGAGUCAACAUUAAAGGGCCCCUUUCCCAUUUGCUGUGGAAGAUGUUUAAUUGGAAGUCUCUCCCUGCCCCUUGACCCUCUGGUGCUGGGCACCAAUGAGAAGCUCAUCUGGCCCCGGGAUCCUGGCAGGACACUGGAAGCAUUAUUGCCAUGGGCAACAGGGUUGUUCCUGGAAACAUCACUGACCCAGGACACCUAGCACAAUGGCACUCGAUGUGAAAGUGGCUUCAUACAAAUCUGCCACUCAAGCCUAAAUAAGUGCAUUCCAGAAGAGCCACAGCCUCUCUAACAGCUCCUGAGGUGAGGGAAACCCUAGGGAUGGGAAGCCGGAGCAGAAAGAUGGUGGCCUAAAGUCAACUGCAGUGAAAAUCUCUCCCCAUCAGCAAGUUUUGCAAAGCUAUGGCCACAGGAACACAUGACUAGGGCCCCUCCUAGUCUUGGAAGGAGCCCCCAUGAAAAUGAGGGCCUCACAGUGAAUCCACCUCUGAUCCUACUUCACCUGCAGUCAGAUAAGAAGAGAUUUCAAUCAGCUAAAGACACCCUAUCUCCUCUCUCCAACCCCUGUGACCCCAGGAGCUCCUGCCUUGUCACUGUGUCUGUCCCCAAACCAACCACAUCUGAAUCAAGCCCCUUUCUCUCCCUAGUGGUCACCGUCUGGGCUGUGAUGGGCGGCUCCCACUCUUGCCUUAGAAUAUGACUGGAGAGGUGACUUCUCAUCACAUGGUGAAUAUGUUCACCCCAUGGUGCUUUCCACCCAAGCUGACCAUCGCUUGACAUUUUGGUGUAGUUGCUAGCUCCGUGCCAUCUUUGGCAAUGUGACCCUGAAGCAGCUGUCCCCAGUGUGCAUUUGGAGGAUUUCAUAUAAUUAUGAAUAGGAUGCAAAUUUUAUAGCCCUAGUGAAGGGAAACACCCCUGGCGAGGCUUCCCGGGGCCAGAGAGAGGACUCCAGUGAGGGAGAUGGUGGCAGGGCCAUUCUUUGUGUCCUGCUUUUUUUUUUUUUUUUUUUUGAUAUCCUCUUUAUGUCCUGAGAGCUAUGUGCAGAUGAGGAAAAAUGACAUGCAAUGCAUUUUUGCCUGCCACAAUGACUUUGCAAUCAUAGCAAGCAAAAUAUUCUAAACAGUAAGUGAAUCGAGGAAGAUGUACUGCCAAGUCAGGAAGAAAAAAUCCACCUGUUCAGUGAUUUCAGGAACUGCUGUAGAAAAUCACCAGUGAGUAUCAGUUUCUGCAAGAGAAUCGCAUGCAGGCUUUGCUUCUCAUCGGAAUCCCCCAGCUGGUGACUUUGUUGACUGAGAGUCUGGGGGAGAGGGCAGGGAAUGGAUUUAUUCUCUGCUAGGUUUUUAACAGUCAUGAAGGGCUGUGGUCCUAACGGGCACUGCUCAAACCUUAGUGUGCAUCGGAAUUAUCUGGAUAAGGCUAGGCACAGUGGCUCAAGCCUGUAAUCACAGCACUUUGGGAGGCUGAGGCGCAUGGAUCACCUGAGGUCAGAAGUUCGAGACCAGCCUGGCUUUUUUAGUAGAGAAACCCUAUGUCUAUUAAAAAGUACAAAAUUUAGCCAGGUGUGGUGGUGAGUGCCUGUAAUCCCAGCUACUUGGGAGGCUGAGGCAGGACAGUCACUUGAAUCUAGGAGGCAGAGGUUGCAGUGAACUGAGAUCGCGCCAUUGUGCUCCAGCCUGGGCAACAAGAGCGAAACUCUAUCUC